AUCUAUGGCCAUGCCACCCUGAACAAACCCGAUCCCAUCUGAUCUCAGAAACUAAGCAGGGUGGGGCCUGGUUAGUAUUUGGAUGGGAGACCACCUAGGAAGACCAGGUGCUAUAGGCA
rnacentral:rRNA from 1 species